rnacentral:rRNA from 1 species
AACGCUGGCGGCACGCUUAACACAUGCAAGUCGAACGAAGUUUUGGAAGUUACUUUUAAAACUUAGUGGCGGACGGGUGAGUAACACGUGAGGAACCUGCCUAUCAGAGAGGGAUACCGUUUGGAAACGACCGUUAAUACCUCAUAACGUAUUGAAACCGCAUGAUUUUGAUACCAAAGAUUUAUCGCUGAUAGAUGGCCUCGCGUCUGAUUAGAUAGUUGGUGAGGUAACGGCUCACCAAGUCGACGAUCAGUAGCCGGACUGAGAGGUUGAACGGCCACAUUGGGACUGAGACACGGCCCAGACUCCUACGGGAGGCAGCAGUGGGGAAUAUUGGGCAAUGGGGGAAACCCUGACCCAGCAACGCCGCGUGAAGGAAGAAGGCCUUCGGGUUGUAAACUUCUUUUAGCAGGGACGAAGAACGUGACGGUACCUGCAGAAAAGCAACGGCUAACUACGUG